GUGGGGAAUAUUGGACAAUGGGCGAAAGCCUGAUCCAGCCAUGCCGCGUGUGUGAAGAAGGUCUUCGGAUUGUAAAGCACUUUAAGUUGGGAGGAAGGGCAGUAAGUUAAUACCUUGCUGUUUUGACGUUACCGACAGAAUAAGCACCGGCUAACUUCGUGCCAGCAGCCGCGGUAAUACGAAGGGUGCAAGCGUUAAUCGGAAUUACUGGGCGUAAAGCGCGCGUAGGUGGUGCUGUAAGACAGGCGUGAAAUCCCCGGGCUCAACCUGGGAACUGCCUCCAAAACUGCAUGACUAGAGUACGGUAGAGGGUAGUGGAAUUUCCUGUGUAGCGGUGAAAUGCGUAGAUAUAGGAAGGAACACCAGUGGCGAAGGCGACUACCUGGACUGAUACUGACACUGAGGUGCGAAAGCGUGGGGAGCAAACAGGAUUAGAUACCCUAGUAGUCC
rnacentral:rRNA from 1 species